rnacentral:tRNA from 1 species
GCCCAGGUGGCGGAAUUGGUAGACGCGCUAGCUUCAGGUGCUAGUGUCACGUAUGGCGUGGAGGUUCAAGUCCUCUCCUGGGCA